UCUGGAUCAGAUAGGCUAGAGGGAAGGACUAGGAACAGGACAUUCCUACAGCCCUGUCACACACAAACACACAGUUUAGGGGUGCUUUGUGUGGGGGGGUUGAGUGGGAGAUGCAUAUAGGAAGGUUGCAGGGAGAUGCCUACCCCUAUACGCCAAUUGGUUUGGUCACCCAAAUCUAUCACUCCCACCCCAUAUCCUCCUGUGUGCUAUUGCUGGUUGCCAGGGAAACGGUGAUGCUGAUUUAUCAACCUUUUUCUCUUAGACCCAGACAGCCCAGGAAAGUUGAGGGAGGGAGAGAGACUGUCUGGUUGCACACUGUUCCUGAAUGAAGAUGGGUGCUCUCCAGUGAAUUUAGACUUCCUUGUCAUAGAACAGACCUCAUAGAAUGGACCUCACAAAUUCACAACCAGACCUCACCAGUCAGGCCCCGCAAACCAGACUGAA